rnacentral:rRNA from 1 species
CCUACGGGUGGCAGCAGUGGGGAAUAUUGCACAAUGGGGGAAACCCUGAUGCAGCGACGCCGCGUGAGUGAAGAAGUAUCUCGGUACGUAACGCUCUAUCAGCAGGGAAGAAAAUGACGGUACCUGACUAAGAAGCCCCGGCCAACUACGUGCCAGCAGCCGCGGUAAUACGUCGGGGGCAAGCGUUAUCCGGAUUUACUGGGUGUAAAGGGGGCGUAGACGGCAGCAAAAGUCUGGAGUGAAAUCCUGGGGCUAAACCCCGGAACUGCUUUGGAAACUGUGCGGCUGGAGUGCAGGAGGGGUAAGCGGAAUUCCUAGUGUAGCGGUGAAAGGAGUAGAUAUUAGGAGGAACACCGGUGGCGAAGGCGGCUUACUGGUCUGUAACUGACGUGGAGGCUCGAAAGCGUGGGGAGCAAACAGGAUUAGAUACCCUGUAGUC